GAUGAACGCUAGCGGCAGGCUUAACACAUGCAAGUCGAGGGGUAGAAGUUGCUUGCAACUUUGAGACCGGCGCACGGGUGCGUAACGCGUAUGCAAUCUACCUUAUACAGAGGGAUAGCCCAGAGAAAUUUGGAUUAAUACCUCAUAGUAUAAUUGAAUGGCAUCAUUUAAUUAUUAAAGUUCCAACGGUAUAAGAUGAGCAUGCGUCCUAUUAGCUAGAUGGUAAGGUAACGGCUUACCAUGGCAACGAUAGGUAGGGGUCCUGAGAGGGAGCUCCCCCACACUGGUACUGAGACACGGACCAGACUCCUACGGGAGGCAGCAGUGAGGAAUAUUGGACAAUGGGCGCAAGCCUGAUCCAGCCAUGCCGCGUGCAGGAAGAAGCAUCUAUGGUGUGUAAACUGCUUUUGUACGGGAAGAAACACUCCUUCGUGAAGGAGCUUGACGGUACCGUAAGAAUAAGGAUCGGCUAACUUCGUGCCAGCAGCCGCAGUAACAC
rnacentral:rRNA from 1 species